GUGGUUGGCUGUUGCGUCACUUUAGUCACAUCACUAGGCUUGGUGUGGUACUCCUGCGUUUAUCUGUACUUUGAUCAAGAAUGGAAGGCCUCAUUCAGCUUGGGUUUUAGCCAACGUGCUGGAACUCGGAUUAUAACAUUGUCGCUGGACGAGGAAAGAAAUCAACAUAGAAGUUAUUACGUCUGCAAAAAACUGUAUUUUAUCGCCCCAAGAAAGUUUAAACUUUGUAUUUUUGAGAAUGCUCGUCUUCCGCUACACAGCGGAUGAAGUAGUCCGUGGAAAAGUGUCAGAGGUUGGCCUUCAAGAACAAAGCAAGUCCAAUCCUCGAUCGAAAUGCAAGGAAAGCAACGACGCAAGAGCGUUUGACCGAGGACGGGUCGCUUGAGUGGUGGUAGAACAAAUUUGAACAUGUAUAAAGUCAAAAUGACAAUGUUCACUUAUACUUGACCACACUUAACGCCCGCUUUCCACAAUGACACAGUCUUCUACAAGACAAUACCUACAUAUACAUAUACGCUUGUACAGUUCAGCGCCGCCAGAGGAUAUCUUUCCCCUGGCAAUGGUGCAUUUCCCGGUGUUAGCGUAUGUAGAUAGCUUCAAACAAAACAGCAAAAAAAUAUAGUGCCGAAAACUCGCAUCUGAAAACUCGAGGACUCAAAAGGCUGAAGAGGGAAUUCUUUGCGAAAAAAAGAUGGCAUCGUGUUUUACUUCAUUGAAGUGAAGUAACUUCACCCCUACUGUAUACAAUGCUAAGAUUCAGCAUUCGAUCUUAGCUACCAAUCAUCGAUUUGUUUUUGUAACAAUUGAAAUCGUAUACUAUUCGUUUACUUUGUGCCAAUUUUCAAUUGUGUUUUGUGUUUAGUUCUCGGUAUCUCGAUAUUGCUUAUGAAUUAUUCGUUGAACAAAUUACACAAUUCUAUUACACAAUGUGCCAUUGUUUUUGUUUCAAUAAAAAUACAUUCUGGAGAUUUCA